UACGGUCGUAUCACGUUGAAACACCAGUCUUCAUACGACCAGCGAAGUUAAGCAACGUAGAACCUGAUCAGCACCUAGAUGAGUGACCGCUUAGGAACACCUGCUGCUGUAAU